GACGAACGCUGGCGGCGCGCUUAACACAUGCAAGUCGAACGGUGAACGGGGCUUCGGCCCCGGGAUCAGUGGCGAACGGGUGCGUACCACGUGGGCAACCUGCCCCAGACUCUGGGAUAACUCCGGGAAACCGGGGCUAAUACCGGAUACUCCGACCGAUCCGCAUGCUUCGGUCGGGAAAGCUCCGGCGGUCUGGGAUGGGCCCGCGGCCUAUCAGCUCGUUGGUGGGGUAACGGCCCACCAAGGCUUCGACGGGUAGCUGGUCUGAGAGGACGACCAGCCACACUGGGACUGAGAUACGGCCCAGACUCCUACGGGAGGCAGCAGUGGGGAAUCUUGCGCAAUGGGCGAAAGCCUGACGCAGCGACGCCGCGUGGGGGACGAAGGCCCUCGGGUUGUAAACCCCUUUCGGCAGGGACGAAGCGAUCGUGACGGUACCUGCAGAAGAAGCUCCGGCUAACUACGUGCCAGCCGCCGCCGUAAAAC
rnacentral:rRNA from 1 species